rnacentral:rRNA from 1 species
AACGAACGCUGGCGGCAUGCCUAACACAUGCAAGUCGAACGAGACCUUCGGGUCUAGUGGCGCACGGGUGCGUACCGCGUGGUAACCUGCCCUUAGGUUCGCUAUACCUCACCGUAAGGGGUCCUCAUACAGCUUAAUGUAUUCCGACCAAAGAUUUAUUGCCUUUGGAUGGGGCCUCGUUGGAUUCGCUAGUUGGUAGUGUAAUAGCCUCCCAUGGGGACGAUCCUUAGCUGGUCUGUUAAGAUGAUAUAGCACACUGGGACUAAGACACGGCCCAGUCUGCGACGGGGGGGAGGAGUAUGUAAUAUUAGACAAGGGGCGAAAGCCUGAUAAAGCAACGCCGCGUGAGUGAUGAAGGCCGUAGGAUUGUAAAUCUGUUUUAGCCGAGGUGAUAAUGACAGUACCGGGAAAAGAAGCACCGGCUAACUACGUG